rnacentral:rRNA from 1 species
AGCAGUGAGGAAUAUUGGUCAAUGGCCGAGAGGCUGAACCAGCCAAGUCGCGUGAGGGAUGAAGGUUCUAUGGAUCGUAAACCUCUUUUAUAAGGGAAUAAAGUGCGGGACGUGUCCCGUUUUGUAUGUACCUUAUGAAUAAGGAUCGGCUAACUCCGUGCCAGCAGCCGCGGUAAUACGGAGGAUCCGAGCGUUAUCCGGAUUUAUUGGGUUUAAAGGGUGCGUAGGCGGCCUUUUAAGUCAGCGGUGAAAGUCUGUGGCUCAACCAUAGAAUUGCCGUUGAAACUGGGGGGCUUGAGUAUGUUUGAGGCAGGCGGAAUGCGUGGUGUAGCGGUGAAAUGCAUAGAUAUCACGCAGAACCCCGAUUGCGAAGGCAGCCUGCCAAGCCAUGACUGACGCUGAUGCACGAAAGCGUGGGGAUCAAACAGGAUUAGAUACCCUGGUAGUCCACGCAGUAAACGAUGAUUACUAGCAGUUUGCGAUACAAUGUAAGCUCUACAGCGAAAGCGUUAAGUAAUCCACCUGGGGAGUACGCCGGCAACGGUGAAACUCAAAGGAAUUGACGGGGGCCCGCACAAGCGGAGGAACAUGUGGUUUAAUUCGAUGAUACGCGAGGAACCUUACCCGGGUUUGAACGCAUUCGGACCGAGGUGGAAACACCUUUUCUAGCAAUAGCCGUUUGCGAGGUGCUGCAUGGUUGUCGUCAGCUCGUGCCGUGAGGUGUCGGCUUAAGUGCCAUAACGAGCGCAACCCUUGCCACUAGUUACUAACAGGUUAGGCUGAGGACUCUGGUGGGACUGCCAGCGUAAGCUGCGAGGAAGGCGGGGAUGACGUCAAAUCAGCACGGCCCUUACAUCCGGGGCGACACACGUGUUACAAUGGCGUGGACAAAGGGAAGCCACCUGGCGACAGGGAGCGAAUCCCCAAACCACGUCUCAGUUCGGAUCGGAGUCUGCAACCCGACUCCGUGAAGCUGGAUUCGCUAGUAAUCGCGCAUCAGCCAUGGCGCGGUGAAUACGUUCCCGGGCCUUGUACACACCGCCCGUCAAGCCAUGGGAGCCGGGGGUACCUGAAGUGCGUAACCGCGAGGAUCGCCCUAGGGUAAAACUGGUGACUGGGGCUAAGUCGUAACAAGGUAGCCGUACCGGAAGGUGCGGCUG